rnacentral:rRNA from 1 species
UACAGAGGGUGCGAGCGUUAAUCGGCAUUACUGGGCGUAAAGCGCACGUAGGCGGCUUGGUAUGUCGGGUGUGAAAUCCCCGGGCUCAACCUGGGAACUGCAUCCGAAACUGCCUUGCUAGAGUAUGGGAGAGGGAAGCGGAAUUUCCGGUGUAGCGGUGAAAUGCGUAGAUAUCGGAAGGAACAUCAGUGGCGAAGGCGGCUUCCUGGACCAAUACUGACGCUCAGGUGCGAAAGCGUGGGGAGCAAACAGG